rnacentral:lncRNA from 1 species
GAAUUAGUAACUGCAGCCAAUCUCCGAAAAGUCCCGAUUGUUUCGAUUUUUGGAAUGGGAUAUUUACGGAAUCCCCAUGAAUAGGAUCAAACCUUAUUCCAUGCUAUUUCCAUAAGAUUCCUCUUUCUUAUUCUUAAGCAAGCCCCCGAGAGGGCUUAGUUGAUCCUGAUUUCUGUUUUCUCUUUUUUUCCUUUUUAUUUGUUUCGAAAAAGAAAUCGUCCGAUUCUCCUUCUAUUGAUUCUUUUCCGAUUGAGAUGUAUGGAUCUAUGUGUCUACAUACCUAGAUUCUGUUCAUACAUUAACGAAAAUGUGCAAGAGCUCUAUUUGCCUCUGCCAUUCUAUGAGUCGCUUCCUUUUUGCGUAUGGCACCCCCACUCCCUUUGGCAGCAUCUACUAAUUCGGAACUUAAUUUGAAAGCCAUAUUUCGACCCGGACGCUUUUGGGAUGCUUCUAAUAACCAACGAAUGGCAAGUGCUCUUCCUUGUUUAGAUCCUAUUUCAAUCAGAACUUUCCGCGUCGAUCCUUUUUUAUUACGUCUUGUUUUUACUCCUAUAUUGGGAGUUACUCUACGUAUUGCUUGACGUAAAACCAAUACUGGAUUUGUUUCUGUCUUUUGUUGAAUCUUUUUCACGGCUCGAUAGAGAAUUUGAUAAGCCAAUGAUUUUUUUCCGUCUUUCAUAAUACGGUUAACCACCAUGUUAACUAAUCGAUUACGAAAAAUUGGAUCAGAUUUUGUGGUUCUUUUUUCUGCAGUACCUCGACGUGACAUGAGCGUGAAAGAGGUUCAAGAAUCCAUUUUCUUUUUAUAAGGGCUAAAAACGAAUCACUUAUUUUUUUGGCUUUUUUGGCCCCAUAUUGUAGGGUGGAUCUCGAAAGAUAGGAAAGAUCUCCCUCCAAGCCGUACAUACGACUUUCAUCGAAUACGGCUUUCCAUAGAAUUCAUAGAGAUCUAUGAGAUCGAGUAUGGAAUUCUGUUUACUCACUUAAAAUUGAGUAUCUGUUUCCCUCCUUUUCCCGCUAGGACCGGAAAUCCUGUAUUUUCCAUAUCCAUACGAUCGAGUCCGCUUUAGUUCUACCUACUCGGGUGAGGGUACUUUUCCAAGUCAGUAAGGCCUAUCCAUGUGUGUGCAGGUCACCAAGGAAGAUAAAUACGUAGAGUGCCCGCUUCUCUGCUAUACUUCUUCCUCGUUAAGUGCUUCAUUUACUGCUUUUUACACCACUGCUGAUGCCCGGAUACCCCUACAGUGCAGACUAAAGGAAAGCUUUUGAAAAGAAAUACAAACAUAAAGUUUGAUAUCGAUUUUGAUACAUAUAAGGUGUCCUACGGAUAAUGCAAAUCAAAGCUAUUUGAUGUCUGACUCAGGCCUAUAUGUAUAUGAGCGAUCGAUCGAAAUACUCCAAGACUCCACCCGGCAUAAUGAAUGCAAGCUAGAUCGGAUGCUUGGAAUAUUGCUACCUCGCCUUUGGGUAAUCCCAUACAUCUGGGCAAAGCAGUGGAGGUAGAUAAGUGGAUAUUGCGGUGCUUUCUCUAAUACUUGCUUUCCAGCAAAGCAGGUUUUCAAGGCCGAGGGUGAACUGGACUCGCAUUCACUUGCUGGGAAAAAGUGAGUGGAUCAGGCUACGACUGAGGCUGAGGAUAGGUCACAGGACGGAUGAGGUAAAGUAUUCCAAAACGGAGGAUUCCAACCCGAGGAAGUAGGUCAACCACCUUCAAUAUGGCUCCACGGAAGUAGUUAGGGGAUAAGCCCAAGGAGGAUAGGCCUAUGGGAUUUCCACAAUGAGUCCUAGUACCAGGUAGGUUAAGGCGUAAUAAGUAAAAGAGGUCUUAGCGGAACUCGAUAGGCCAAAAAGGAGGGUGUGCGAAGGUAGGCUCAAGCGUUGAUUCUGCUCGUGAGCGUAAUGGUAUAAGCCUGCCUGACUGUGAGACCGACUGGUCGAACAGAGACGAAAGUCGGCCAUAGUGAUCCAGGAGUCUCGUGUGGAAGGGCUCUCGCUCUAUAAAAGGCCAACAAUCUAUAAAUCUAUUGGUGACACGUUCUUUGAAAUUUUCGGAUUACGAAGCUAGAAACAUUAAACAAUAUAUGUCGAGUUUAUAAUUUGUUUCCAUCGUUUUAUCCUUUAUAAAAUUUUAAAACAAACUUUACUUGACUAUAUUUCAAUGGAGAAAUAGAUAAUGGCAUGUAGACCUACUAGUCUACUACUCAUCACGAGUGCAUUCUACCAUGGUUGAUGCUUUUUCUAGUUGAUAAGCUGGCUGAUGCUAUUUUCUUGUAAGAGGAAAAUAUUAUACCAUGGUUGAUAAGUCGGAUUAAUAAAUUCAAGCGAAUAGGGCCAUAGUAAAACCCUCUCUAUUUUUUUUGUUUCAUUUCUACCCAUGACCGUACAUUUUUCAACUGAUGCUAAAUUAAAGUAGUCUGAGAGAAAAACAUUGUUGGUUGACAGAAAAAACACGACUGAUAAGACAAGCGAACCAGCUUUGUGGUGAGCUCCAUUUCUCGAUAAAACUACUAUCUAAAGUUUCUCACAAGUUAUUCAGUUCUUUGGCUCUGUUAUAAAUUCAAAUUUUUCCAACAUCUUUUACCUCCUCUUAUAUUUUAGGGUUACCCCCCUUUACCAAGUAAAGCAUAAAUUCACCGCGCGCUGUCCUACUCCCGACCACUUGUACCCUCAAGCAGUCAUUAGGUGGCCCUAUCGUCAGUACCUCAGACUUUUCCAGCCAUACCAUAGAAAACCACCACUAGCCUUACGUGGUAGUGCUAGUAAAGAAAUUAGUUGCUGAUCAAGCAUGUUAUCCAUGCCACUGUACUGUACCUAGAUAUGGGCCAUGCUACCAUAUAUCUGUUUGUGACCAGAUUCCCGCAAAGAAAAACCCACUUGCGUUGCGUUGUGCCCCAUGCAAGGCAGCUGAUGCGUGCCGGCGGUGGGUUCCGUGGGCAUAUUUGUACGCGCGCACAUGGCGACAUGGCCGCGCGCUCCAUCCAGCUCCAGUUUGUGUCCUCCCAAACUAACCAAAUGAUUGGGUUUGGGAUUAGUCGAUUUCAUUCGUAAUAAGGCUUUGUAGUAGCUGGACGCCUCUGCUGUCUGCUUGGGGAGGAUCCCUUCCAGAUUUGGAAGCGUAGGAGUACUUCAGACGAGACACGGCGUAGUACGUAGCUGGGGAAAGAUACGCGUGUGUGGUCGGCCGGUGCUGUUUGAAGGGUUUACGCUAGGGCCUUGUUUAGUUCGUAAAAGAUUUUGGAUUUUAUUAAUGUAGUAAUUUUGUUUUUAUUUGAUAAUUAUUAUUUAGCUAUAGAUUAAUUAGACUCAAAAGAUUCGUUUCGUAAAUUUUAGAUAAACUGUAUAACUAGUUAUUUUUUAUCUACAUUUAAUGCUUCAUAUAUAAGUCGCAAGAUUUGAUACGUCAAAGAAUCUAGAAAAAUUUGGGGAAGUCGCUAGUAGCGCUAGCUACCCGGUUUGGUCCAUGUCCAAGUCCGUCCAGCCGAGGUGCGCGGCGCCGCACGUGUAGUUACCCUGUUGGGACUAGUCCGUUUGGGCACCGUCGCCAGCAGUCAUCAACACAGACACCACAAAGCACAAGAAGGUGUGCAGUGCCAGCCACACGAUGGCCGGCCGAUGGCACAGGCGCAGCGCAGAUUGGGGGAUGGAUGGAUGGAUGGUAGCGACCCGGCCGGCCGCCGACGACCAUGUGCUGUGCUGUGCUGUGCCGCAGAUAGACGUCCGGGCCGGCGCGGUGACCUGACGAGACCUCGCACCACACCGGACCGGCGGACCCGACCCCAUGCCAGCAUGUUGCCCUCCAGGGCAGAGCAGGAGUAGGGCGCCUGCAUGCACUGCAUCGCUGCCGCCACGCGCAUGCAUGCAUGGUUCCGGCGGCCGGCAGGUCCGGCACAUCCGCACAUGUACCCCCAGGACCACCAUACUACAUGCAUGGAGCAUGGAGCAGUAUGUACUCGUACGUGGCAGAUUCACAUUGCGCGCACCAGUUUUUUAUAUCCGCCUGGGCCACUACAUCUACAUGCACUGGUCAGUGGUCACACUGGGCAGACGAGACUGGCAAACGGCAUGGCGACAUUCGUCAAUCCAUCUUUUUUUUUUGUGAUUUUCUUUGUUUACCACAGAAUCGGUACAUUGGUGCACGACAUGCUCACCGUCACCGGCGCCAUUCAAGGCCGACUCGACACCUUCCUUUAUACGUGGUACAAAGUGAAAUUUUUUUAAUUUGGCUACUAUAACUCUUUGGUUUCUAUUUGAUAGUUAUUAUUCAAUCAUAGACUAAUUAUGUUUAAAAGAUCUAUCUCGUAAGUUAUAAAUAAACUUUACAAUUAGUUAUUUUUAUCUAUAUUUAAUGCUUUGUACAUAUGUCGAAAGAUUCAUUGUGACGAAGAAUCUUGAAAAUUUUUAAGAGCUUUUCAUAGAAAAAAGAACACAUGUCCACUUAGGCUCCGUUUGGUUGUCUUUGUUAAACUUUACCGCUCGUUAAAUCAAAUGUUUAGACACAUAUAUGAAGUAUUAAAUAUAAAUUAUUUACAAACUAAAAACACAGUUAGAGAAUAAUUUAUAAGACGAAUCUUUUGAGUCUAAUUAGUUUAUAAUUAGAUAUUAAUUAUCAAAUAAAAUAUUAUCUGUUAACAGCUUCAACCAAACACGGUCCAGCUAGCUCUUCAUUCUCUGAGGUCGGCGGAUGGGCCAAAAUGUUAUCAGCUGGACCAAGCCCAGCGUGCUCGUGUCGGUAGCAAUAGCGCCGGGCUCGCAGAGAUUCGGGGAUCGAGAGACUGACCCGGACGGCUCCUGAUGGCGAUGCCGCUUGCUUGCUGUGGUACCUGUACCUGCACGCCCAUGUGACCGCCAUUGACGCCUGACAGCUAUCUGAUGCUGCAUGCAUGGUUGAUGCCCCCUGCCUCGCACAGUGCCCAUGUCCCUUGGCAUGCAAUUGGCGAUCAAUCAAGAGGCAGUGGCCAGGGAUAUGAUCACACGAGACAACUUGCUUAAGACUAAGGGCCUUGUUUAGUUCACCCCGAAAACCAAAACCUUUUGAAGAUUCCACGUCACAUCGAAUUCUACGACACAUACAGAAAGCACUAAAUAUAAACGAAAACAAAAGCUAACUACACAGUUUACUUGUAAAUCGCGAGAUUGUUGACACCGUUUUUUGGGCACGUGUCCAGGAUGGCAGAAUAAAGUGGCAGUAUGCUGUUUACAAGAUGAAUUGCCGAUGAGGAUGGUUGCCGAUGAAGGAGAGGUCGGAUGUGACUAAGUCUGCAGGCAGUGAUGUGUUUAUGCCGAUGGCUAUAAUGGAGGAGUCUGCCGAUGACUAUGGCAAGGAGUCUGCCGAUGAUACGGAGGAGGGGUCCGGAAACUGCUGAUCGGUUUAUGGAAGAAUUUUAGAUUGUCACGGGAGAUAGCUUUGUUAUUUCCUUAUUUGUUUAAGUCGUUUUGUGUACGGAUUCCGUGUGAUUUGGAAUUCGAAUUCUAGUCGUGUUUAGUUGUAGCUCUUUGAGCAGGGUAUAAAUAUGAACCCUAGGGCCUUGUAAUGAGACAUCUAUCAAUCAAUCAAACAUACGUUUUUACUCAUAUUCCAGCAUCUACUUUCCGACGACUUCGUCAUACUUUUUUCCCUUUUAUUACGAGUUCUUAGGAAUUCGUCGACUUAAGCUCGACGUGUUCUCAAGUUCCGCGUGAGUACCUCUUAGCCGUGACAUCCGGGCGCAUCGCUGUUGUCAGGACUAAAGUAUUCGAGUUAUCACCUUUGCCGAUAGUAAGGUUAAAUCGGCUGGCACGCCUUAACGUUUGAAUCGGGUAUUAGCCCUUUGUGUUUGCAGAUCGAUUUUGCAUCAACAGAGAUAUAUCUUUUGAAUCUAGCUAGUCCAUAAUUGGACAAUAUUUGUCAAAUAAAAACAAAAAUGUUACAGUAGCGAACACCAAAAAUUUUCGGAACUAAACAAGGCCUAACAUAUCCAUGUAGGAGUAUAUGCUUUUUUAUCCCUCCAAAACUAAUCAUUUGAAUAAUUACAUUCUUCAAAAUUACAAGAACUUUGGUCCAACCAUCAACUAGAACCAUAUGUAGCCAAAGAUUAUUCCACUCCAGUAUCCACACUUUUAAAGGUAUACCCAGAAUUUUCGGCUGUAGAAGUAGGAGUAUUAUCUUUUGUGAACUUCACCUUGGGCAAUAUUUUAUUUGCCUUCUUCUCUUGCUAUAUCUGUUCCUACACUACAGUACUACACCACAACUUUUUAAGUAGUCGUCUAGCAGUCGAGCUUUUCGUCCUGUCGUUUUACCUCCUAGAAGAAACAGAAGAAGUAGGAUAACCAAUACUGGAACCAUACAAAACCGUUGGGGUUUCAUCAUUCGUAAAAGACGAAAAUUGUAUGGGACGGGGGCUCAUGCGCUGCGUGCCAUGGAAACAUCCCUGAAAUCAGAUCGGCUGCAUGAUGGCAUCCGCAACUCGCAAGCUGUGAUUCGUCCACCAAUCAGGCAUGUACUGUACACUUGAUUUUGCUCCCACUGGGGCCAACCUGUGACGCGGGCAAAAGACAAGAUCGCGCCUCGCGUGCUCGUCGGCGUCCAUGUGACGACCGUCCGUCCAGGAUGCACAUCGCAGCUGUGCCCUGCUGCCGCGCGCCAUCGAUCCAUCACACUCACUCGCCAGCUGCAACACCAUCACCACGUACCACUGUAGCUAGUUUAGUGCCCUUCAACACACUGUGUAACCUCUAUGCUUAGCCAGUUUUUUUUUUAUUAUUUUUAUGCUAAGGCUAUGCUUAGCCAGUUAAUUAGCCACACUCUAGAAACAGAGCAUGGCCCUAGCUCCCCAGGCGCCAGCUCUCCCUCCCUAGCUAGUCCCUAUAAAUACGCUCGCACUCGUCGAGUCUCGGCAUCCAGCCAGCAGCCCAGCAGCCACCCCCAGUCUAGCCAGUGGCCACUGUUGCGUGUACUAGGUGGUAGACCGACCGACGAUGGCGACGACGACGACGGCGCGGGUGCCGCCGCUGCUGGUUGCGGCCGUUGCGGUGGCGGUGGCGGUGCUGGUGGAGGUGGCGACGGCGGCGGCGCCGCGGAAGCCCGUGGACGUGCCGUUCCAGAAGAACUACGUGCCGACGUGGGCGCAGGACCACAUCCACUACGUGGACGGCGGGCGGGAGGUGCAGCUGUACCUGGACAAGUCCACGGGGACGGGCUUCCAGACGCGGGGCUCCUACCUCUUCGGCCACUUCAGCAUGCACAUGAAGCUCGUCGGCGGCGACUCCGCGGGCACCGUCACGGCGUUCUACGUACGGUCGUCGUCCUUCCUAGCUUUUGUUUGUUGCUCUGUUGUGCUCUCUUCGCCUCGCCACUUGUUGCCGGCCGGCGGCGGCGGAAGCUGUAUGUGUGACUGGUGGCUGAACUCGAUCCAUUUGCAUGCCUGCGUGUCGUUGCAGCUGUCGUCGCAGAACUCGGAGCACGACGAGAUCGACUUCGAGUUCCUGGGCAACCGGACGGGGCAGCCCUACAUCCUGCAGACCAACGUGUUCACCGGCGGCAAGGGCGACCGCGAGCAGAGGAUCUACCUCUGGUUCGACCCCACCAAGGAGUACCACUCCUACUCCGUCCUCUGGAACCUCUACAUGAUCGCGUAAUUAAGCACCUAGUAUCCAUCAUCGCAUUCGCAUCACCUGCACUCGCAUUGGCUACUACAGUACCUCACUGCUCACCGGCCGUGCAGGGUACCACUGCCGCACGGCAUUACUACAGUAUUACUGAAAAAGUGUAAAAGAUGAUUUUGAAUUCAUGCUGUCUUAAAGGCAGACAGUAAAAUCUUGAAUCUAGAUUGCGCGCGCGUGCCUCCAUGUGCAGGUGCCGACGCAUAUAGUCGUACACACGGCACUACACGCCACUGUCUGAACCCUGCACACCAACAUGUCCGGCCACUGUGCGACGGCGACGGCACGGCCCCAAUCGCAUCCUCGUACACCGUGCGUAAUCCUACUACGCUUUCCUGCAGGUUCUUCGUGGACGACGUGCCGAUCCGUGUGUUCAAGAACACGAGCUCGGACCUGGGGGUGCGGUACCCGUUCAGCCAGCCGAUGAAGCUCUACUCCAGCCUGUGGAACGCCGACGACUGGGCGACCCGCGGCGGGCGGGAGAAGACGGACUGGUCCAACGCGCCCUUCGUCGCCUCCUACAGGGGAUUCCACGUCGACGGCUGCGAGGCCUCCGCCGAGGCCCGCUACUGCGCCACCCAGGGCGCGCGCUGGUGGGACCAGCCCGAGUUCAGGGACCUCGACGCCGCGCAGUACCGCAAGCUCGCCGACGUCCGCCGCCGCUACACCAUCUACAACUACUGCACCGACCGCGACCGCUACGCCGCCAUGCCGCCCGAGUGCGCGCGCGACCGCGACGUCUGACGACACUGAUUCCUGAUACGGUACCAAGGGCCAAGGGGUGUGCUGCUUGUUGAUCCAUCGAGAGCAGCCAUGUAAUGUACGUAUCGUAUUGUAUUGUGUGUGUGUGUGUGUGUGUGUCAGGUUCGUCAUAUGGGUGAGCACGUGCACACUUACUACACAUGCUUUGUGUUGUACCGUGUACUGUAUCUGCUCAUAGCGAAAUGAAUUGAUCUUAUUUGCAUUGCAGUUUUUAGUACUACUAUAAAAAUUUAGCUUAAGUUAUGUUAACUCUUAUCUAUGUUUGGGACAUCAUAAAUCAUUAUUUUAGCUUUUCAAGUAUUUGUCUUGUUACUUCUUGUAUUUUUUUUUAAUCUAUGUAUGUCCAAACUCUAGCUCUGGCUGUAUCUUUUUUAUUCCAAAUUUUUUUCUUAGACCUUGUUUAGUUACACCCAAAAUCUUAAUAUUUUUUAAAAUCACUACAAGAAACACAUGGCUUUUUAACGUUUAGUUAUGUCACAAUAUAUGUAAUUUAUGUUACAAAUUAAGAUUUGUGACAUCAAGUUGACAAAAAUGAAAACGUGGAAAAACCCGCUGUUGAUGCAAAAGCUGAAUCUGCAAACACAAAGGGCUAAUACCCGGUUCAAACGUUAAGGCGUGCCAGCCGAUUUGACCUUACUAUCGGCAAAGGUGAUAACUCGAAUACUUUAGUCCCGACAACAGCGAUGCGUUCGGAUGCCACGGCCAAGAGGUAUUCACGCGGAACUUGAGAAUACGCCGAGCUUAAGUCGACGAACUCCUAAGAACUCAUAAUGAAAAAAAGAAAAUAUGAUGAAGUCGUCGAAAAAGUAGAUGCUGGAGUAUGAGUAAAAACUUGUGUUUGAUUGAUUGAUAGAUUACAAGGCCUUAGGGUCUACAUUUAUACCCUGCUCAAAGAGCUACAACCAGACACGACUAGAACUCGAAUUCCAAAUUUAAACAGAAUCCGUGUACAAAACGAUUUAAAUAACUAAGGAAAACAUAAAACUAUCCUUCCGUGACAAACUGGGACACCACUACGGACCAAUCGGCAAUCUUCGAGUCUUCCUUCCAUGCCAUCGGCAGACUCCCCAUCGGCAACGGUUAAUACUGGCCAUCGGCAUAAACACAUCUCCACCCACGGACUUAGCCAUGUUUAGCUGUCUUCCCAUCGGCAACCGCCCUCAUCGGCAACUCUUCUGCAGACCGGUAACCAUCACACUGUCUUGCCGAUCCACAUUCUAUCGAUCCGGGAUACGUGUCCAAAAACGGUGUCAACACAUGCCCCCCAAUUUCGGAGUAUGAAAUCAUUGAUGCUCUGAAAUUCUCUACAAUAAUGAUGCCUUUCCGCAAUUAAUUCUCCCAAUUUGGUAACUGACAGCCUUAAUCUGAACAACCCUGGUCCAAUUCCUCCGCAGAUCCCUCGAAAUCUUCAACCUCUCCAACGGACAUCUCCAUUUUAAUCGCCCAUCGGCAAUAUUACCGUUACCGAGAACUGCCGAUGGACUGACCAAGACAUCCUGUACGGCGAAGCAUCUUAUCCUUCCAAACGGACAUAUCUGCUUUAUUCGUCCAUCGGCAAUAUUACCGUUACAAUUGAAAGGUCCUUGUUUGGUUUUGGUAAUUGAGUGACAACUUAGGUGGACUAAUAGUGUUUAUGUGAGAUACACAGGAGAUUAGUCCACAGGUGAUUAUGUGAUGAUGGAGGAGCUCAUUGCAUAUGAGACAUGACAUGGAGUCAUGUGACCAAGGUGGAGAAGAUCAAGAUGAGGCUUGGCUUGAUGGACCAGUUGCAAGAGUGAAGGGCAAGUCGGAGGCUUUGAAGCGAGGGACCGCGUGUGACGGUGAAGCUUGAGUAAGACUUGGCGCCGAUGGACCGAGGCAACGGUGAAGAGCAAGUGAGGUCAAGAUCGAUGAACCAAUACGGUCACGUGAUGAUAUGAAGUGGAUCAUAUCAUUUGGUGAUUGGUUGGUGCAUGUGUUGCAUCAACAUUGGAGGAGAUGGAAUGGAAAGUGCAAGGCAAAGGUAUAACCUAGGGCAUUUCCAUUUCACCGGUCAUAGGUGUGUAGAGAAGUUUAUGACUGGAUUUAGGAUAGAUGGCCGUACUAUCAAGAGGGGCAAACUUGUUUGCAUAUCGGUCAUCUAGUGCCACUUGAGCGAUCUAAACUUUGCAUACAUGUUAGGAUCGAGUGGCGUGGCAAGUUGAGAGGCUAACUCCUUUGGGAAAAUGUUUGUAAAAAUGCUAACACACAUGCACAUGGUGGUGUACACUUGGCGGUGUUGGCACAUUUACAAAGGAGGUGGAGUUCCUAGGGUUGAGAGGGGUGUGGGUUCCUCUCUCCCUCCCGCCGAGCUUGCGAGGCGGGAUUCGGCGCUUUUGAGAAAAUUAAGUGCAUAUUUCCUAUUGCGCCGAUGGGAAAUUUGGAGAAGUUGCGGGAGUGUUUCACUCACCGGACGCUGGUGUUGGCAGCACCGGACGCUGGUCCAGAGCGUCCGGUGUGGUGUCUGUGGCUCAGGUGUGCAGAGCGCACCGGACGCUGGGUGGUUACUGUUCGAGCGUCCGGUGGUGCGUGACGUCAGUGAGUGUUUCUGACUGGAGAGCACCGGACGCUCAGGGUGCGUCCAGUGGCUUGCGUCCGGUGACCCUGCGACUUUGCGGAGCUCUCUGCGCACGAGUCCGGUGUGACGCAGUAGAGCGUCCGGUGGUGCUGUGCAGGCGCGCGUGCGUAGUAGCCGUUGGCGGCAACGGUCGAGUUCAAACGGCUAGUGACACGUGGCUAACGCCUCAGCACCGGACGCUGGGGGUUGAGCGUCCGGUGGCUCCCUGUGAGCGUCCGGUGUCCACGUGUUUUGCCCAGUGAAGGGGCAACGGCUAGUUUAGCCCUUGGGGCUAUAAAUAGAAGUGGUGGCCGGCCUUGGCUGGCGCUGAGCACCCUUGGGACUUAGUGUCCAUGCUUGGGGAGUGCUAGGAAAGCCUCUAACUCACUUGUGCUUGCAAGAGUGCGAAUCAAUAGCGAGUGAGUGAUUCUAGUACGUUGCAUUGAGAGAUUGCAUCGAGUGGCACUAGGUGUUCGUGUUGCAAGCCGGUGGUGCUUGUUACUCUUGGAGGUUGCCACCUCCUAGACGGCUUGGUGGCUUGUGACUCCGUCGAAGCACGCAAGGAGAUUGUUCGGUGCUCCGGAGAAGAGAUUGUGAGGGGUACGGUGCUCACCCCGCGGGGAUUGCGAAGAGCAACUCUAGUUGAGCGAGACGUGAAGAGCGACAAGUGGUCCGGCCGGGUCAAGUGCUAGAGCUUGUGGUAAGCACUCCAUGUGGGAGAGUGUGACUUGCGGGUCACCACUAGCAAGAGGACCGGCGGCAAACUUGGAGCUUGUCUCAACGGGGACGUAGCCUGGUGGCAACCAAGUGAACCUCGGGAGAAAAUCAUCGUGUCAACUUUGUUCUUCCUGUUGGUUUGUAAGUCCCUAACACAAGCUUGUUCUUACAUUCAUAUACUUGUGCUUGUGUAGUUGCUCUUGUAAUUAGUUACCUUGUGUAGCUUGCUAGUUACCUUCUUGCUUGUGUGGCUAGAAGUAGUUCUCCUUACGUGACUAAUUUGGUUUGUGUAACCUUGUUAGUCACAUUGCUUAGUUUGUGUAGCUAAGUAUUUUGAGCUCUCUAAUUUAGUAUUGGUUGCCUUGUUAUUGAGCAUUGCUAGUAAGCUUAGGAGCUUUGUGCUUUUGCUUACGAGUUGUGUAGGAGUUCCCCGGUUUGCAAAGUACUAGUGACAUAUGUUUGUGUGACCUUGCUUCUAGAAUUGGUUAAGUGAGCUCUUGCUAAGGUAGCACCUUGUUUGCUUGUUUAGGAUCUUUUUCAAGGUGCUAGAGAACUUAGAUAGAGGGGUGUAGUCUUGGCUAGACUGAUAGUUUUAAUUCCGCACUUAUUUCGGUUAGCCGGUGCGAUAAGUUUUAGAAUGGACUAUUCACCCCCCUCUAGUCCGCCAUCUCGACCCUUCAACAAUGCGAUACCGAUGGACCGACCAGGAAAUCUCACACAGUAAAAUAUCUCCAGAUCACGACCGCCUCCUGUCAAAUCACCUGUGCCAUCCCUUGAUUACCGUGCGAACAGUUACCAUAUCUUCCUAAGUAUCCUCGGAUUUCACGGAUACGGCGAAGUGAUAAGUCAGAUUUACCCUUGCCCAUUUUGUCCUAUGAAUAGUUCCUUCUCGGGUACUCCUUCUCCAUCACAUCAUUUUACAGCCCCAACUCUACUUUUCUGGCGACGACGCUGUUCGAGAGCUCCAAGAACUCCAGCGAAGGCUUUUCUCCACCAAUCUCGAAGUCUUCAAUCUCCUUCCUCGCGAGGAAAUGGCCAUCAACUUCACCGUUCCUGAGGUCAGUUCAUCACCCUAUCUCUUGUACCUUUACCACAUCCAUGUUUAUCCGCAAUUUAUUUUACUGAACAUUCUUCUUUUGUUCUUCCUUUACCUUCAAAACUAUUAGGAUCUGUCCAACAAAAUUGUCAUCCCCACAGAUCAGCCACACCUCCAAUGUCUUGGUCCAUUAGGGGAUCCAGAUCCCACCGAUCUUAUUAACGCGGAAACAAACAGAAUCCCCUUUAGAGCCGAAAAUUUUUCUCUGGAUCUAUGGAAGGAUACCUUCCGUUCCUGGCCCAGUCCUACCGUGGGAUGGAAGGAUUGGUUCUUGAGAGUCAGCCACUCAAAUGAAGUCUAGCGGGGUGAGAGAAAACUGGACCAAUGCAUCAGAUUGUCCAUUGCCGAUAUGCAUAGGAAUGAGUCACUGUUGAUAGCUGCAUCACAUUUCUGGUCAGACACACUCAAUGCCUUUGUCUUCGGCCACGGUCCUGCUUCCCCUACACUUGCCGAUGUGGUUAUGCUCACCGGCCUAGAUGUAUCUUCUGCCGAUAGCACCCACUUUUUUGAUACCAAACCCAGUGCUAAGGUAGAAACUCGCUCCAUCGGCGGUUGGUCAGGAUACAUCCAAAAAUACAAACGAACAGGCCCUGUUAACAUAAAGGAACAGACUAGCUUUCUAAACAUGUGGUUGGACAAAUUCGUAUUUUGUGGUCGAUCGGCAGGACCAACUUCCGUCUAUCUAGCAGCAGCAGAAAGAUUAGCCAACGGUGGCCGAUUCCCCCUCGGCCGAUACCUGCUCGGCGCAGCUUACCACCUCCUUCAUCAAGUAACUAGGAAACUCCUGCUCGGCCAGUCCAUCGGCAACUUGGGGGGUCCCUGGUGGUUUAUCAACAUGUGGCUCAGCCUCCACAUGCACAAGCGCCUUGAGUUUGACCUCUUUGCACAGCGCUUCCCCAGGGAUAUAGCCGAGGACUAUGAACUAGAUGAAGAAGAAUCGGCAACUCGCCCUCCUCGGCAACUCGCCCUCCUCUAAACUUUGGCGGGGUUGCCAUAGUCCUGCCCGGUACAGGAGGCAAUGCAGACCAGGUCAGCCGAUUCUUCCAAACCCUGUAUGAAGGCUUGACCAGAGAACAGCGAGCAUGGAUGCCUUAUGAAGAUCCAGACACCAUGUUUCCUUUGGUCUUCCAUCCGUUCAACAAUGCUCUCAACAAGGAUCACGAAGUGACGAUGGCACUGAUCACUUCCAGAGCUAUACAAGUAAACUUCUUCGGCAGUGGGAAAACCUCCAACCAAACCUAUGAGUUUUACAACCCAUCGGCACUAGCCCGUCAACUAGCUUUCGGCCAGCUGCCGAUUGCACUCUGUUAUGCCGAUGUGACAAAACCCAGGGAAGCCAUCACUAACCUUCUCGAGUGGAUCCGAGUAGCCCAGCUGUCACCGAAUGCCGACACAGAUGUAGAUCUAUCAGAGUGGAUCCCAGCCCUCUUCAUUACUCAGUCGUACAAACAAUGGUGGGAGGAAUGGAAGGAACAUUUGUUCUCCAAAUCAGCUCUUACGUACCGCGGUAUGAUCGACCCCCAGUACAAAGUUCCCGACAAUACUGUAAGCGUUUCCAAACCGAUGUUUCAAUUCCUCCAAUUUUAUCUCCAUCGGUAACUCACUUUCUGUAUUAUAUUGCAGGUUGAUAAUAUUCCCCCAUCGGUCAGCAGGAGUGGCAAGCCGAUUGACCUUUUUCCAUCAGGUCCGAUCUCUUCAAUCGGCAACAACGCUCCCACUUUGGCUGCCAUCACGCAUCGAGGCAUGCGCCUCAAAAAAGUCACCACCAAGAGAACUCAGAUAUCUCCAUCGGUAGCUGCCUCUGCUUUGGCACAGGCAUUCAAGGUACAUUUUCAAACUCUUUCAUACCGAUCUCAUUCUUACAUCUGUUGCACUUGUACUCACAAAUUUCCCUUUCUGUAUCAGCACACCGGCGCAUCGGCAAGGACCAGAAGCAAAAGUGCCGAUGCCCCCCAGUCUAGUCAGCCGAAGAGAAAAGGUGCCAAGAAUACCAGAGCACAAGCAAAGCGCCAGAAGACAGCAACGCCUUCUCCUCCCCUAGAAUCACCAAUCCCAGUAGAAUCUUCUUCUUCCUCUCUAGAAGCCCAGAUGCAACAAGCACCAUCUCCCCCUCAGCCGCAAGAAGCACCCCAAGUGGAAGAAAUCCAACCAGUAGGACCUCAGUCAGAAGUACCUCAGCCUGAAGACAGAUCAACUGAUGCAGGCGAGCAGACUACCGAUCCAGCAGGCUCAAUCAUAGCAUCGGUAGUUUUCUCGAUCCAGACAAGCACUGCACCUCCUCAGGGUAAUACAUUUUUACAAAGUCAUUGCCGAUGAAUCUACUUUCCUGAUCUCAUAACUUCUACUAAUUUUUUAGCUGACAUAGUCCCAUCGGCAGCCCCAACCGAUCUGCCUGUAGUGCCAUUGACAUCUUCCAGUCAAAGGUGAGAAAUUACCUUGAAACAAGUAAGUCAUCCAAUCUUCAUCAGUAUUAUUUGUCCAUACCUGACCAUGGAAUGACUCACUUUAUUUCUCUUCCAGGAACAGGACUCUCCCGACAGCUUGUUUUCCUUUGCCAUUGACAUCUCUGAAGACGAAGGUGAGGAAGCAAGCUCUUCUCGGGCAGUUGGGAUCACAUCGGUAGAAAUCAGGGCGAAAUUGGAAGAAUCAUCGGCCCUCCUUCACUAAGACAUAGCCCAACUGGUUGAUGACUCCGACCCAGCCAAGGCCCUGUUCAAGACCCUCAGAGGCCAAAUUCCUACCGAUGCUGAAGAAAUCCUCUUUCAAGCUGCACAUCUGGAGAGUCGUCAGCUGCAGUACCAGAGGGCCGCCCAACGUCUUGCCAAUAGAGCUGCCCAGACUCAACUUUCUGAGGAGAUGAUGAAAGUGAAGCUCCUCGCCAAUGAGAAACAUAAGAACAUCGGCACCUUGAAGUCCUCAGGAGAUGCACUGAAGCACAAGAUCUCUGAUCUGUCAGCAAAAAGAGAAGCCCUGUUGGCAGAACUCAAGCAAGUGGAAGAAGCCUUGUCCCAAGCCCAACAAGAGGAAAACCAGCUGCCCGAGGCAAUCAAACUCCUUGAGCAAGAGCGAAAUGUCUAUGGCCGUAAAGCACUGCAACUGAAGAAGAAGUUGAAGCCAGUGGAAGGUUCUGCCGAUGAAGACAUCAAAGAAAUAGAAGCAGCCAACCAAAUCCGCUUGCGCGCUAUAUCGGCCACCCAGGCGCUGCUAAACAUGUGAGUUCUUCAUCGGCAACAUACUUGCCCCUCUCUGCUUUCCAGCUUUCCUAAUAUUUGGUCUAGCCGAUAGGACUGUUAUCGACACCUUUUAAAACACUGAGUUUUACCCCCAGAUGCAUUUUGAUCUAGCCGAUAGGAAUGUUAUCGGCACCUAACUUUUAUGCAUCGACCCAUAUGCUGGGGUAGUACUUCUUUAGAUAUUUGCCAUUUAAUGCUCUAGGAAAUUCAACUCCUUCGAGAGUUUCUAAAAUAUAGGCAUUACCAGAAGCCGAUCGACUUAUCCGAUAGGGACCUUCCCAAUUGGGAGACCACUUCCCAAAUUUUGAACUUUUAGUCCCGAUCGGUAAGAUUAAUUUCCAUACUAAGUCUCCAUCAACAAACUCCUUAGCCUUCACUUUCUUAUCAUACCAUCUGGCAACUCUCUUCUUAUUCUCUUCUAUACUCAUUAAGGCCCUCAGCCGAUGUCCUGCUAGAUCAUCUAACUCGUCUGUCAUCAAAGUAGCAUAAUCAUCGGCAGCCAAUUGAUCUUGAAAAGAUAGUCGCCUAGACCCAGUCUUAAUUUCCCAAGGUAACACAACAUCAUGCCCAUACACCAACUGAUAAGGUGAAACCUUGGUCGAUCCAUGACAAGCCAUCCGGUAUGACCAUAAAGCUUCAUUUAACAAUGUGUGCCACCUUCUAGGAUUUUCUUCAAUCUUUCGUUUGAUAAGCUUGAUAAUUCCUUUAUUAGAUGCCUCGGCCUGCCCAUUAGCUUGAGCAUAAUAAGGAGAAGAGUUUAAUACUUUAAUUCCCAUACCGAUUGCAAAUUCAUCAAAGUCCCCAGAUGUGAACAUAGUACCCUGAUCGGUAGUGAUUGUUUGAGGAAUUCCAAAUCGGUAGAUAAUAUGCUCUUUCACAAAAUCAAUCAUAUUAGCCGAUGUAACUUUCUUCAAAGGAAUAGCUUCAACCCAUUUGGUGAAAUAAUCGGUGGCAACCAAGAUAAACAUAUGUCCUUUGCUAGAUGGUGGAUAAAUUUGACCGAUCAAAUCAAUAGCCCAUCCCCAGAACGGCCAAGGCUUGAUGAUAGGAUUCAUGGCCGAUGGAGGUGCCCUUUGAACAUUGCCAAACUUCUGACAUCCUUGACACCCUUUGAAAUACUUAAAACAAUCCUCAAGUAUAGUCGGCCAAUAAUACCCAUUUCUUCUAAUCAUCCACUUCAUCUUAAAAGCCGACUGAUGUGCUCCACAUACUCCCUCAUGUAUUUCUCCCAUCAAAUUCUUAGCCUCAUCAUCGCCUAAGCAUCUGAGAAGAAUCCCAUCAACAGUUCGGUAAUAUAACUCACCCUCGAGGAGCACAUACUUGGUGGCUUGAAACCGAACAUGUCUCUCCACUUUCUUAGAUGGAUCCUUUAAAUAAUCAAUGAUUUCUUUUCUCCAAUCAUCGGCACUGACUGCCGAUAUUGCAUUAAUCAUGGGCUGAUAUCCCGAGGCAUGCUGAGCCAACCGAUUGGCCUCUUCAUUAUGCAAUCGAGGAACAUGCUCCAAUCGGAAAUCCUUGAAUUCCUUUAACAGUUGCAUACUCCUAUCGUGAUAAGUUAUGAGGACCUCACUUCGGCAUUCAUAGCUUCCAGCCAAUUGAUUUAUAACUAGCAUAGAAUCUCUGAAGAUCUCAACAGCAUCAGCAUGAACUUCUCUUAGUAACUCCAAUCCCUUUAUCAAAGCUUGAUACUUAGCCUGAUUAUUUGUUGACAUGGCAACAAUCUGCAAAGAGAAUUCAUAUUUCCUUCCCCGAGGGGAAAUUAACACUAUGUCGAUUCCUGCCCCCCGGUCACACGUGGAUCCGUCAAAGAAAAGCGUCCAAGGUACAAUCUCCAAAGCCUCCACUGUACCAUAAUGUUGAGUCACAAAAUCGGCCAUAACCUGUCCUCUAACCGCUUUAGCCGAUUCGUAACGCAGAUCAAAUUCUGACAAUGCCAAAAUCCACUUACCGAUCCUGCCACUCAUGAUCGGCAUAGAUAGCAUGUAUCGGACCACAUCAUCUUUGCAAAUAACCGAGCAUUCGGCCGAUAGCAAAUAAUGCCUUAACUUAAUACAGGAGAAGUACAAGCAUAAGCACAGUUUCUCAAUAGCCGAAUACCUAGUCUCAGUAUCAAUCAACCUCCUGCUUAAAUAAUAAAUCACACGUUCCUUCCCUUCAAAUUCUUGAAUCAAAGCCGAACCGAUGACCAUUCCAUCGGUAGACAAAUACAGCUUGAAGGGCUUCCCUUGCUGAGGUGGAAUCAGAACUGGAGGAUUCACCAAAUAAUUCUUGAUCUCAUCCAAGGCCAACUGUUGUUCUUUCCCCCAAACGAAUUCUUGAUCGGCUUUCAACUUAAGUAAAGGACUGAAAGCACGAAUUUUACCAGACAAAUUAGAUAUAAACCUCCUGAUAAAAUUUACCUUGUCGAUCCAGGAUUGGAGCUCAGUCUUGUUGGUAGGAGCAACUAUUUUGUUGAUAGCAUCAAUGGAUCUUCAACUAAUUUCAAUCCCUCUUUGAUGCACCAUGAAACCAAGAAAUUAUCCUGCCGAUACACCAAAUGCACACUUAUUGGGAUUCAUUUUCAAACCAUGCUUCCUUGUGCAUUCCAACACCUUUCGUAAAUCGGCAAGAUGCUUUGUGAAGUCUCCAGACUUAACCACCACAUCAUCAAUAUAAAUUUCCACCAGCUUGCCGAAGAACUCAUGAAAUAUAAAAUUUAUGGCUCUUUGAUAAGUGGCACCAGCAUUUUUCAAGCCAAAGGUCAUGACUAUCCAUUCAAACAACCCAACAUGAUCAGGACAUCUAAAUGCAGUCUUUGGAAUAUCUUCUUCAGCCAUGAAUAUUUGAUUGUAUCCUGCAUUGCCAUCCAUAAAGCUGAUAAUCUGAUGUCCAGCCGCAGCAUCAACUAGCAGAUCGGCAACUGGCAUUGGGUAACCGUCCAUCGGUGUAGCUUUGUUAAGAUUCCUGAAAUUAAUGCAGACCCGAAGCUUCCCAUUUUUCUUAUAGACCGAAACAACAUUGGAAAUCCACUCGGCAUACCGACACUGCCGAAUAAACUUAGCUUCAAUAAGUUUGGUUAUUUCGGCCUUAAUAUCAGGAAGAAUAUUAGGAUUACAUCAGCGAGCUAGCUGUUGAUGUGGCCGAAAUCCAGACUUGAUAGGCAACCGAUGUUCAACAACUGAUCGGUCCAGACCAGGCAUCUCAGUAUAAUCCCAAGCAAAGCAAUCUUUAUAUUCUUUUAACAAAUCAGUUAACUGUCGCUUACACUCAGAACUUAAUUUAGCACUAAUAAAAGUAGGUCUAGGUUUAUCACCACUACCUAUGUCUACCUCUACUAGAUCAUCGGCCGAUGUGAAUCCCUGGCCUAAUUUUCCAUCAUCGGCGAACCUAUCCAUCAAAAACCUUCGUCAGAACCGACUGCUUGGAUCGGUGGAAUUUCAUAAUCGGCAACCUUGAGAAAAUCCUUUUCCCAAACUUCUCCUGAAAUACACCUAGUUCUUUCGUAGGUGUCUGCCUCUGCCGAUGCAAUAACAUAGGAAGAAUCUCCCGGGACAAUCUCAAUCUUGUCACCUACCCACUGGACCAAGCACUGGUGCAUUGUAGACGGGAUGCAACAAUUGGCAUGGAUCCAAUCUCUUCCCAGCAACAAGUUAUAAGCCCCUUUUCCACUGAUCACGAAGAAGGUUGUCGGCAAGGUUUUGCUGCCGAUGGUCAACUCAACGCAUAUCGCCCCCUUAACUGGAGACACGUUGCCCAAAAAGUCUUUGAGCAUCAUAUCGGUCUUGGUCAAAUCCUGAUCCCCUUUUCCAAGCUUCCGAUAUACUAUAUAUGGCAUGAUGUUGAUAGCAGCUCCACCAUGAAUUAAAAUCAUGGUCAUUAUCUGACCAUCCACCCUUCUUUUGACAAACAAAGCCUUCAGAUGUUGCCUUUCAUCAUCGGCAGGCUUUUCAAAGAUGGCUGUCAUCGGAUCCAGAGCCAACUGAGCUAUUUGGUCGGAAAACUCCAACUUAUCAUUACUGGACGGCGGAAGGAAUUCCAUCGGCAACAUAAAUACCAUGUUGAUGUCUGCCGAUGGCCCCUUUCCCUUAGGAUCUGAUUGUUGCUGAUCCCCAGACUGGCUAGAGUUCUCGCCCUUGCUUAACUCUUCUCGUCUUUCGCACUGCAGUCUUCUCUUCUGCGUCCUGGUCAACCCCUCUGGACACCAUGGAGGAAGUUGUUGCUGCCCUACCGAUGGGCGAUGAUUCUCCCUCGACUCCAUCCGAUAAAUAUUGGCGUCCCUACAGAAGAUGAACUCAUCGGGAACCCGCGCAUUAGCCAUCUCUUCAAGUUCUUCCUGGUUCCUGGGAAAAUACUCAACACGGUUGCCGAUCCUGUCGUGCACACUGAGCCUGCCCCCAGCCGGUCAUGAACGGACGCUCUCCCCCUAAUCGGCCCACUAAACCGCCGAUCAUCGUGAUAGCGCCGAUCGGAUCUGUCAUACUGAUCAUAAAGGACAAUCUCUGACAGUAGGAAGCUUGAUAUUUUCCUCCCAACAAUGGAUGAAGAACGGACAAUUCCAGUGAUCCCUAUGCCGAUUCCACUCCUGUCGGUGUCUUUCUUCUUCCCGACGAUAGUCCUCUUGCUGGCGUCGAUACCGAUCCUCACGUUGCUGCCAAGUUUCCCGAGGCCUUCUGUGAGUUAUUACGAUACCAGAUCGGGGAGGCCUCCCUGAGUUAGUUCCCUCCUGGAUCAAGCCUUUUCCUUUUGCAUCGGCAGUAGUGAUCUGAUACUGAGGAUCCACCGAUGCACUUCUUUCAGCUGCUUCCGAUGUUAAGACCUUGGCCUUUCCCUUCGAAUCCAGCAUGUUUGUUGGGAAAGGAUGUUGAUCAAUCUUCAUUGGCUUCUGAGUUUUGGAGCUAUCAAAUUUGAUCCUUCCAGACUCUAUAGCCGAUUGCAGCUGUUGUCUAAAAACUUUGCACUCAUUGGUGCUGUGAAAAGUUGCAUUGUGCCAUUUACAGUACUUCAUCCUUUUUAACUCUUCGGCCGAUGGGAUUACAUGGUUAGGUGACAAUUUGAUUUGACCUUCCUGAAGUAGAAAGUCAAAUAUCCUAUCGGCCUUUGUGAUGUCAAACGUGAACUUUUCUGGCUCCUUGUGCCCAAAAGGACAAGACAUCGGCUUCUUAUUUUUUACCCAUUCUGCCAAGCCGAUAACUGGUUCCUCAUCAGAAUCCAAGCUUGUUGCUUCAUCAACGAACGAUACCUUUUUGUUCCAUGCUCUUUUGGGCUCAAAAGGCUUGAUAUCUUGAUCAGAAAUUCUCUGCACCAAAUGACUUAAGCUUUCAAACUCCUGAGAUGCAUACUUGUCCCUAAUAUGUGGCAACAAGCCCUGGAAAGCCAAAUCGGCUAGCUGCCGAUCAUCCAGAACCAGGCUAUAGCAUUUGUUCUUGACUUCCCGUAUCCUCUACACAAAAUUUUCAACCGAUUCAUCAUUGCGUUGCUUCAAUUUGACCAAAUCGGUGAUCUUCUUCUCGUAGACUCCAGAAAAGAAGUAUUUGUGGAACUGCUUCUCUAGAUCAGCCCAAGUAAUCACUGAGUUAGGAGGUAACGAUAUAAAUCAAGUGAAAGCCGAUCCAGACAAUGAUGAUGAGAAUAAGCGAACCCUCAACUCGUCCCUGUUAGCAGCUUCUCCACACUGAAUGAUGAACCUGUUGACAUGCUCCAUGGUUGAUGUAUCAUCCUGCCCAGAAAACUUAGUAAAAUCCGGCACUUUGUACCGAUUUAGAAGUGGGAUUAAAUCAUAUGCAGGAGGAUACGUUGUCCGAUAAGAGUAAGUAUUGACUUUGGGUUUUAUCCCAAAUUGAUCUCUCAUUACUUCAGCAAUCUUAUCGGCCCAAUAAGCAUCGGCGUCUUGCCGAUGAGGCGGUUGUGGAUCUGGCAUCUGCUGGUAAGCUUCCACAUGUCUGUGCGGUGCACGAUCUGCAUGGAACAUUGGAUUAAUCAUUUGGCCACCAACUUGCUGACCACCGAGCUGCUGGCCGAGAUUCAUCGGCUGAUUUACCAAUCCCUGGUUCUGAAACCCAGGGUAGAUCUGACUUUGUUGAAAACUCGUAGCCUGAUGAUUCUGUUGAGACAUGUGUGGAAAGACUUGCUGCUCAGGCCAUCCACUAUUAGCGCUCAUCAGCUACCCGAUGACUGGUAGUUGGGCAUCAUCAUUGAACCGACAUACCCUGGUUGAGUCAUAAGCCUCUGCUGCAUCAGCAUUGAAUCUGCCGAUGCGUUAGGUAUCUGGAACGUUGGAGCUUGAGAAUUCCCCAUGUAAGGCCUUGCAGUAGUGGUUGUAGUAUACCGGGGACUCUGAUUCAUCAGCAUAUUUGGAGGUGCCGAUGCCAUAGGAGCCUUGCCUCUCAUAUCAGCCGCCUGAGACAUGCCAGGUGUCUUCAACAAGUAUUCCGGAGGCAUACCGAAACCCCACCAGUUAGGAGGAGGGGCUAACCCUAACAUUGCCGAUGCCAAUAGAUCUGUAGUAAGCUUAAUCUGCUCACCUGAAGUCGGUGGAUUAGUCGUCAUCGGCGUAGAUUGUGCAUUAGUGACUCCUAACGUGCUUGGAGGAACAACAGUUUCUGUGUCGGCACCAAUGGAGCUGUGACCACUGGUGAUCCUGGCUGAUGAUGAGAAGGGCCCACAUAGUUUGGUGGCAACUGUCUUUUCUUAAAAGUUCUAGCCACGGCAUUGAAAACCGUAUUGGACAGCACACCAGCUUGAUUGAUCAAAGCACGGUUAAUAGCAUUAUCAACCAUGCCUUGAAGUUUACCAGGAUUGACAUCAAAAGUAACCUGCCGAGGCAUCGGCAGUGCUUCCUUCUGGAUCACCUCGCCGCUCCUGUUUAUGCUGAAGGACCUCAAGCAUUGCUGCUUGUAAUCCUCCAUGGCUUUAGCAAUAGCUUGCUUCUACCCAUCCUUGAGAUUGGCUUCCGUCACGGGAAUGACAUUCUCCUGAUCGAACUCUGUAGUCGACAUGUCGAUCUUGAUCUUGAAUCAGUCCCACUGGGCGUGCCAAAAGAUAUGUUGAUGCAAAAGCUGGAUCUGCAAACACAAAGGGCUAAUACCCGGUUCAAACGUUAAGGCGUGCCAGCCGAUUUGACCUUACUAUCGGCAAAGGUGAUAACUCGAAUACUUUGGUCCCGACAACAGCGAUGCGCCCGGAUGCCACGGCCAAGAGGUAUUCACGCGGAACUUGAGAAUACACCGAGCUUAAGUCGACGAACUCCUAAGAACUCGUAAUGAAAAAAGGAAAAUAUGACGAAGUCGUCGAAAAAGUAGAUGCUGGAGUAUGAGUAAAAACUUGUGUUUGAUUGAUUGAUAGAUUACAAGGCCUUAGGGUCUACAUUUAUACCCUGCUCAAAGAGCUACAACCAGACACGACUAGAACUCGAAUUCCAAAUUUAAACAGAAUCCGUGUACAAAACGAUUUAAAUAACUAAGGAAAACAUAAAACUAUCAUUCCGUGACAAACUGGGACACCACCACGGACCAAUCGGCAAUCUUCGAGUCUUCCUUCCAUGCCAUCGGCAGACUCUCCAUCGGCAACAGUUAAUACUGCCAUCGGCAUAAACACAUCUCCACCCACGGACUUAGCCAUGUUUAGCUGUCUUCCCAUCGGCAACCGCCCUCAUCGGCAACUCUUCUGCAGACCAGUAACCAUCACCCUGUCUUGCCGAUCCACAUUCUACCGAUCCGGGAUACGUGUCCAAAAACGGUGUCAACACUCGCGUCAUAAAAUGAUUAUGUGACAUUUGUUUGGUUCAUGUCACAAGCAUAUGACAUUGGUUUAUUGUCAUAAAAUCGUAGGCCUUGCCACGUGGCAGCUGACAUGGCAGGGAGAAAAAAUGUCACAAAACAAGUUUUGGCCUACUAAAGCCCACAUAGCUCAUGGGCCUGAAAUCUAUUUAGAGUGGUGUUAGCUGGUCCAUUAUUUUCAAUUACAGCCCAUAUAGAUUUCGAGCCCACAAAAAUUCAGCCCAUAUAAUAUUUUUUUACUCUCAUAAUACAUCCCGUAUUUUAUCCACAUAUUUCAGCCCAUAUUUUUCCCAAGCCCUAAAAUUCAGGCUAUUUUUUUCCCAGCACACACAAUUCAGCCCAUGUAAUUGCAUUCAUAUAAUUUUUCAACAUAUAAAACAUUAGAUCCAAAUGAUUUAACAUCUCCAUAGUAAAUAUAAUAUCAUCACUGAGACUUUAUAUCAGUUAAAUUUUGGCAUAAGCAACUCAUACAACAUCAAUUGCAUAAUACAUGUUCAUACAUAAAAAACAUUCCAGCCACAUUCUAGUCAUAUUCCAGUCUUCUAGCCACCAAACUACAACACCGUACACAGAAUUAACACGCACCUAGCUACACAAGGCAAAAGUACCAAAAGUUUUCCGCUGUUGGUUACAGCCCAGUCAUCCUCCAAGUUCAACUGCACAAAAGUACCAGCCUCACAGAAGUACCAACCAGCAGCCAGCAACACAUUCCAGCAACCAUAAUCUUCUACUGCAACGUGCACAGACUAGACCAAAAAAGAUCCAAUAGCUCACUUAAAAAGAUCUAUCAGCCAUGGUCACAAUUUGGUGGAUGCACAACCACCACAGAGCUUGGGUUAACUAGCAUGUCAUGGCACUACCUGAAAAUAAAUACAUACAAAAGCAUUCAGUGACUAUUUAAGAAAUGUUAGAGCCUAGGUGAAGUUGUAUCAUAAGAAAUGUCAGAGCCUCUGUAUCAAACGUCCAACUCAAACAAAAGUAGAGUUCCUAGACACCAUCUCACUAUGAAGAUUUCCUAAGCAUACCAUUUAAAUAAGCAAAGCAUAUGUCAACAGAUGAAACCAUCUCACGCUAUUAGCAUACUAAAGUUACAGUUUGCUACUGAACAUGUUUUAGUUUAGAGAACAUCACCUUUGCUCCCUUCACUCAGGAUCUCCAUCCUUGUUUUCUCUAGUGACACUGCACAUACAAACGCCACUGCAUUUACCUAAAGAUUUGUCACCAUUUCUGCUUUCUAUGAAUGAAAAGUGCAAAGCCAGUAUAAAUGUAUACUGGGGGUAAAUACUACAAAGUACAAGUCCACUACAGAUGUGUACAGGACUACAGAGAAUGAACUACAAAGUCCAGUACAGAUGUACAAUACAGAGAAUAAACUACAAAGUGCAUGUAUAGUAAAUAGAAUGCAGCACAACGCAGGUCGUUGAUGUUCAGAUACAGGUAAUGUGUCCAUAUGUUUGACCAAAAAUAUAGCUAAAUUAAUAUUGUGGUGACACCACAUCACCAAGUGAGUAAGCGGAAAUGCACAUAUGAAAGUGGGAGAACCUUUGAAAUUAUGAAGAGGUUCAUAUAUACUUUUGAUAGUGGCACUAAAAUAAUUUUUUAGAGUAUUACACUGUAUACAUGUAAUUCCUUUCAGUACCACCGUGCGGCUGCGGAACCUGCUUAGACACCAGUACAGGUAUGCCAUGGCAACGCCCGCAGCCGCCGCGCACGAGCGUCAGUCCGUGGAGUACCCACACGCAGGCAACCGAGCUUGACGACGACUAGGAGUCAGAUGAUGGCGAGCAUAUCAGCAUCACGGAGUUCGCGCCGGCAUGGCCCCCUCCCCUAGAUCUACCACACGCUAAGCUCUUGCAAACACUGACACGAUUGAACCAGGGAGAGAGAGUGAGGGAAAGCAGAGAUUGAGGAGAGGAAAGAGAGAAGAGAUGAGGAGCUAGCUCACCAUCGCCCACAAGCCAGAUCCGUCACGGCUGGAUGAAAGAUGCAUUGUGAUAGUGAUCUGGGAGCACCUCUGCUGCACCGGCUCCUCUGUGGCACGAAAACUCAGCCAGGAUGACGCCUUUGCGACAUUGAGGACUCGAUCUGGUGUAUUCUUGCCGUUGGACGUCUUCAUCCCUCCUUGGCGCUAUCGUCUUGCUCGUGGGAGGGAGGCAAGGGGUGGCCGCGGGUUCUGGAAGGACGAAAGGAGGGAAAGGCGUUUUCUUGUCCGGCGGCUGUGGUGAUGUGGGAGUGGGGAAUUAUUCGUAGGGUUAGCUUCGCCUAUAUAUGAGUGGUACUCAAAGUGAAAAAGUUCGAAAUUGACCUCAUAUAGGAUAAGGUAGUUGCACAGCUAGUGUGGACAUAUAUGACUUUUCGCAUCAAAAUGGUGGCGCGACAGGCAUUUUGGUUUGGCGCACGCGGGAUCUGAAAUUUUUGGCUAUUUGGAAAAAGCUGCAGCCACAUUAUCUACUAUAUAUAUAGGGUGCAUUUUCAUAUGCCACUGAAUUCUAUCGAGAGCUACGCGGGUCUGUGCAGAGUAGGAUCCGAUAGUAGCAUCUUGCAUCUGAUGUGCCUCCGUGGAUAACUUUGUAUAUUCUAACAUAAACUAAAUUAUUUAAUUAUUUAGAAGUAUGUAUAAAUACAUAGUAUCAUUUUUUAUUUAAUUAUUUGGGAGUAUGUAUACAUACAUAAUAUCAUUUGCCUAAUUUUCUACUUAAAUCAAAUCAUCUUCUCUUGGAUACAAGGCAUUCUCUCAUUGUCUCUGGCAGCGGCGGCGAUCUUUGUUUCUCUGUAUUUGUUGUCGACAGUCACUUAGAAUUAAAAAGAGUAUUUCUAGAUAUGUUUCAAAGAAGUGUAUGUUUAGAUACUAAAAAAAGUGUAUGUUAGAUACUUUUUGAAAGAAGAGUAUGUUUAGAUAUGUUUCAAAAAGAGUAAAGUCCAUCAGCGGUCCCUAAACUUGUUCAGAUGUGUCAUCCCGGUCCUUAAACUCGCAAAAUGACCGUUUAGGUACCUAAACUUGUUCGGUUGUGUCAUCCUGGUCCCUAAACUUAAAAAUCUCCCAUAUAGGUCCUUAAACUUGUUUAGUUGUGUCAUCCCGGUCCCUAAACUUGUUUUUAAGUCUUAUCUAGGUCAAAACAGGACGAAUCUAAAAACUCUAUAUUGAAAAAUAAUUCAUAACUUUUUCAAAUCAACUCAAAUGAAAAUAAACUUUAUAUCAAAAUUGUAGGCAGCAACAUGAUCUACAACUUUGCAGUUGAAAAGUUUUUAAAUUAAAAUCGUUUAGGUUCCCAAAAUAUUUUUUAUAAGUUUAUAGAUUUUAAAAUUUAAAAUUUAAAAUUAAAUUUAUAACACUAAACGACUUCAAAUAAAAAACUUUUCAACUACAAAGUUGUAGAUUGUGCUGAGGACUAUAACUUUGGUAUAAAAUUUGUCUUCAUUUGAGUUCAUAUGAAAAAGUUAUGAAUUAUUUUUUGAUAUAGAGUUGUUAGAUCGCUUUGUUUUGACCCAGAUGAGAUUCAAAACCAAGUUUAGGGACCGAGAUGACACAACUGAACAACUUUGAGGAUCUAAACGGAUGAUUUCUAAGUUUAGGGACCGGGAUGACACAAUUGAACAAGUUUAGGGACCGAGAUGACACAGAUGAACAAGUUUGAGGACCUAAACAAUCGAGUUGUAAGUUUAGGGACCGGGAUGACACGACAGCACAAGUUUAGGGUCCGGUAGUGGACUUUACUCUUUCAAAAAAGUGUAUGUUUAUUUUUAACAAAGUUUGUUCUAUAUUUUUCCGGUACAAGUAUAUUUCAUACUACUACUACUACAGUAUUAUAUUUUUUUCUCAGAGUACUCGGCGAUGAUGUAUGUAUGUAUACAUACUCUCGGCGAUGAUGUAUGUAUGUAUACAUAUAUAUAUAUACUUUCAAAUAAUUAAAUAAUUUACCAUGUAUGUAUACAUUUAACCGCUAAUUUCUUUUGUAUGUGUUUUUUUUUAAACAGCCUUGCGACAAGCUUUUAUUCGUCUGACAUCGUUACAUCGUUUGAUUGUAAAUUAGCGGUGGAACAACUGACGUAGGUGCAAUGCCACACAAUUUGUACUUAAAGGUUGUAUAAAUGAUGGUAGGUCGAAAUAUCUGGCAUCGAUCGGCCUCCACACGGACGCGGUGGACAUUAAAAUUGUCCGGGCGAGCGAAAGGCGGUGGAGCUUUCCAGCCGGCAACACGGGGCGGCCGCGACCGGCAAAGAGGCCGUGCGUGGAGACAUCGCUGACGCCGAUCCCCGGCCGGCGUCGCGUCGACGGAGACCAUCCGUGGGUCAGGCCCAGUUUUAGUUUUGGGACAUGAAUGCACGGGCCAGCCGAGCCUAAUGGGCCGGUGAGCCUGCCUGCUAAGAGGUGCCUGUGCGUAGGCACCGCGAGCAUGUUUGGGCUGUUUGGCAUGGCUGAGCCGAGCUCCACCCAGAGUCAAGUGUAGCUAGCCAAACACUCCAACUCUAAAAAAAAUAUUGGAGCAGCCCUAUUCCAUAGAGUUUUUGAAGCUCUAGUAUAAAUUUUCAGAGUACAUCUUCUCUUACUCCAAAACAGACUAAAACAGACCAAGACAUGAAGUUGGUACCCGCAAUUGCCACUUGUUACACAAAUGAAUCGUUAUUUUUUCUAUUUUCCCUACCUCGACCCCUUCCCCUUCACACACCGUCCGCUUCCAGGGGAUGAGCAGGCCGGUCGACGCCGCCUCCCUCUCUCUGCCUCUCUCCCCCGCCUCCUCCCUCCAUCACCCACCGGCGGCCGCGUUGGCGCGUGGCCCGCUCGACGUCCUGGGCACACGGUGGCCUGAGCAGGGGGCGUAGUCGGCCAUGGCCUGCGGCCUACGCAGUGCCGCCAGGGGCGGGCGCGGCCUGCCCAGCUUCUGCAUGCGGUGGCACAGCCUCGGCGGCUCACGUCACGGUUCGGCCUAGCGCGGCGCUUGCAGCGGCCCUGACGCAUGGUUCCUAGCCGGCCUGCGCAGGAAGUACGAGAGCAUAAAUAUUGAAUUUUAUUUUGGAUUAUCUUGUACGCUAUUAAAUUUUAUUUUAUAUGCAUCAAAUACUUUUUCACCCAUAAUUACCUUUCCACGUUCUCAUUUUUCCAAGAACGCACCAUAUAUGCAAGGUUCAAUUUCAAAGCAAACAGUCGAACAGUAACAUGUGCAUAUGUGAUUGAAGGCAAGAGUAAAGUAGGCAAAACACAGUGACAAAGCACAACUCUAGAGCUCAGAGUACCAUUCCAGCCAAACACCCCUACCAGACAGCUCCAACUGGAUUUCUGAAGUGGAGCUACUCUGUGUGGAGUUGGAGCCAUGCCAAACAGACCCUCCUCACCUCGACAACCCGAACACUUCGUGCUGUCACAAAAUAAUACAUGGCCUAAAUCUAAAUAUUAAUAGGCUGGUAUAAGAUGAUUGGGGACAUGAUAAAAAAAUUUUGGAUACAAUUGAAAAUAAAUAUUAUGGUGGAUGAAAUUGAUCUACACCAUGUCCAACAAACCGCAAACAACAACAUCCCGCCCCCAAACUUUCGCCUGUGUGCGGGGUUGCGCGGCCACAAAAUAAAGACGACGACGGUCACACCGGCCGGUUUCCCCAAUAUAACAUAACCCGAGGAUACCUGUACUACCGAGAUUCUGCCAAGAUAGCGUGGCGUCUGUGGAUCCAGUGAUCGCGGCGGAGCCUGCAGCGGCGCAACGUGCACCCAUGUUCGAAUGUCUGCGGUGCCUGCCAAUGGUCACCGUGUUAUCCUGCUAUUUUAAUCCAAAAACCUGUACCGAAUCAAGUGCAGUGCGCGCGGCAUGCCGCCGAGACUGAGGAACUGAACGGGCAAAUGGGGUCGUUUCAAGCAGGGAGGCGGAGACGACUGACUGCAGAUGGCAAGUGCAACCCGCGCGGCAUGCCCGACCAAGGCCCACGGACAACGGGCCUGCCAUGGCACAGCCUGAAUGAAUCGCGCCAACUCCUAGCAUGGUUCGACGCGGACACACCCUGGCGCCGACGUGUUGUUAACGGAUCUUCGGAGAAUCGGUAUAAGAUAUUUUUUGCAAGCUAAAAUGUCAUCUAUUACUUUUUUUUUAAAAAAAGUUUCAGUAACACCCUAUUGUUGCAAAUUUAUAUUUACAAGUUCUGUCAUAAUAUUUUGUAGAAAUAAAAAAUUAUCACCACCAUUUCUUAUUGUAACUCUUAAUAUAGUUUUUACAUAAUUUUAUAGAAAACCUAAGAGAACAACCUUUUACAUGACCAGCGCAACCCAGUUUUCAUUCAUAGCUAUCAUCAGACAAACCUAUCUUGAUAAUUUCUCUGCAUAUAUUUUUAGAUAAACUUUUUAUAUAUACUAAAUUUUACAAAUAAUGUAAACUUAUUUAACGUCUUUGAAAUAAAUUAUUAUAUAUAAUGUAUAGUAAUUUUUUCCCAAAAUUGAACCUGAAUUUUCGUUCAAAUUAUGACAGAAGAAAUAUGGAUAGGUUAUUUAAAAACAAAAAGGUAACAAAAAAGGAAAGAAAAGAGAUGGAAGGAUACGGUGUAAGGAAACUGGACCUCGUUUCCACUAGAGUGAAAGGUCGGUAACUUGGAUUUGGGCUUUGCGAAAGCCUUCACAAGAUAAAACACCUGUUUAUCAACCGAGAAAGGUGACUAAAGGAGGGGAGGUUGAAUGAAAGCCUAACCUAAUGCUCACCUUGUCUUAUGAGAUUACUAUUUCAGCGAACGAAUAGUAUUUUUCUCUCACAACAAAUCAACAAACAAUAUUUUUAGUUAUGUCUUUUUAGCAUAGCAAACAAAUGGCUCAAACCCUUAGAAAAACAAAAUCCAUCAAAACACAAAGAAAGGGGUUCACAAGAAGAAAAACCAAAUUGAAAAAAACAAGACUUCAACUCAGAUCCUAGUGGAAUGAUUGCUUUGUUUCCAAGAUCAGAGUGGCCUAGUUCCAAUAGAGGAAAGAUUACACAAACUACGGAUCUCAACGCUAUACUAGACUUAGACUAGAUCUAAGAACUAAAACCUACUGACUCAAAUGAAAGCAUUGGAAGAUAUGGGCUGGUUUGGGUAGCCUCUCCUCUUAUUUAUAGAGCUAUUACACAAUCCAAAGUUGCUCUUAGAUAUUUUACUUGAACCACUUAACCCCAGGGGCAAAAAAAGUCUAAGUAGAGAACUUUGCAUCUAGCAACCACGAGCCCUUCAUGAGAUAACUUCACCUCAAUGCAAACUCCCUGAUGACGUCAUGUGCUGCCUCGAACUCCAUCCUAGGUUUUAAGGCCCAAACCUAGCGAAAAUGUCUGCUAGUGGUUUUGAGGCCCAAACUACCUAACCUAGCUGGAGAAGUGUAUAUGCUAUGCCUCCUCCAUGAUCUCGACGCGUGUCACUCUCUGUCCUCAGCCGCUCGAUCACCAAGUCCUUUGUGCCUCCGUUUGACUUGGUCAACUGCUAUCUAAACUCGGUCAACAUGGUAUCCUCCUCCAGUCAUGCACACUUGCUUGUUGAUGUCCCCAGGCAUUAGCCACUGAUGGUCUCAUCCGUCCUUCAUCGCUCCCGGUCCAUCGAUAUGGCAUGACCCUACUUGACCUUCUCCAUAGUCGUCAACCAUCUCUGUGCUUCACACCUGCGCACAUCAUGCCAAGAGACAUGUUGCACAAACACCACACUCACGCUAAGGUUGGUAUCUAGACUCAACCAAAGUCUGAUCAUCUUCUAGCAAUCACUCAUCAUCAAUCGACACACAUGUACACAUCUCAACCAUGUGUUCACAAUCUUCUGUUUGCUGAGUGCAUUCUCAACAACAACACAAAGAGAUAUAUCAAAAGCAAAAGAAAAGGUUCUCAACAUAUGCUAGCUCUUUGUGUAAACAUUCUCCAUCUUGUUGGCACAUGCACACAUCAAGCUAUAUAAAGUUGCAUCUCCCCCUUAAAAUAUGCUAUGAAGUGCUUAAGGACGCAGACAUGCAAGAGCUUUAGGAGUAGAUCAUCCAGAAUGAAAAGAUGCUCUAAGUGGUACUAUCACGUGAGUAUAACAAUAAAUCCAUGUGCUAGCAGAUGUUGAAAUAAACCGAUCAUAUGAUACAAUUGUGAUUUGCAAAGCAUUUUGAGCACAUUUUAGUCUUGAUAAAAGGUUUGCUAGUAAGAUAGCACAAAGCAGAUAUAGGCAGAAGAUCAAACAAGUGCUAGCUUGCGCAAACCUAUCUAGGGUGAACUACCUCAAUCAAGUGCCAAUCAACACGCCACAAAUGAACAGAUUUUCAUUUAAUUCUUUUUGCACAAGUGGAGUGAUGAAUCGGGGUGGAGUUUUCCGUGCCUACCCCUAUUAAAUAGAGUGGUGGGUGCAUUCCAUAUGAGAAGCUUUCAUGGCUCAAAUUUCUAGUGCAUGGAGGCGUGAGUCCUGCGUGCUUAGGUCGAAGCCUUGCGCCUACACUAUUUUGCUCUUGAGUGCAAUUGUCAUGUUGCUUGCUCAUUUUGCGUGGCACUGUUCUGGACCCGCUGCUUUCAAUUUUUUCGGCUUGACGCGCGUUGCUGCUUAUUUUUUUCCCGCCAGCGCUAGCGUUUUUGUUGUUUUUUCGUGUUUGCUUAAUUUGUUGGCACUCACGGCAUUCGAAUUCUGGCGCGCACGAGUCCGAUGCUUGGAUAUCCAAGACACUUCGACGCUUGGAAUCCGAUCCGACGCUUGCAUCUACUGCUCCAUUGCCUUGCUUCUUCCUUGCACACCUAGCUAGUUUGCUUCUUCUUAGCUUGUUCAUCUGGCCUUAGCUUUUUCAUCUACGUACUUCGCCGCGAUCUCAUCUGACUCCGACACGAUCUCCUCCAACUCCGGCACAACAAGUUUCGGCUUGGACUCCAUAGUUUGGACGAGCGGCCGGCGGCAAGCGCGAGCGGCGAGCAUGAGCGACGAGUGGACGACGCGAGAGGCGAGCAGGCCAGCGAGUGCACGAGCAACCUGCGGUACGAGCUUUGGACGAGCGGCUGGCGGCGAGCGUACGAGCAGCCGGCGGCGAGCGUGAGCGAUGAGUGGAACAACGUGAGAGGCAAGCAGGCCAGCGAGUGCACGAGCAACCAUCGGGCUAGCGGCUUUAGACGACGCGAGAGGCGGGCAGGCACGGCGUAGAUGGGAACCAAGGCGUGGCAUUCAUUGAUGGACUGCUUCAAUGCGGUGGGACGAUCGAAGAGGCCAGGGUAGUCCCGUCCAGAACCAUGGCUUCGGGUGCACAGCGACUUCUAUUAAACAAUCAUCUAUUCCCAUUAUGGAGGGAGUAUGCACUACUGCAGACUGCGCGUUUGCCGAGCGCCUGGGACGCUCGGCAAAGAGCGAUUUGCGCUCGGCAAAGGCUUUGCCGAGCGUGGUGCUCGGCAAAGAGGUCCCGGCAAAGAAACGCUCGGCAAAGGCUUCUUUGCCGAGCGUCUUUUAUCGGGCGCUCGGCAAAGCCUUUGCCUAGCGCCACAAAGAACUUCGGCAAAGAAAAGCGACGGGCAUGACCGUUAUGCACCGUGACAUCUUCUUUGCCGAGCGUCUUCACUCUGCGCUCGGCAAAGAGCAAAAUAUUUUUUUUGAAAAAUUCCUUUGCCUAGCGCCUACAAGACAACGCUCGGCAAAGAGGAAACAAUUUUUUUUUAAAAAAAAUCUUUGCCGAGCGCCUCCAACAACGCGCUCGACAAAGAGGAAAAAAUGUUUUUUGAAAAAAGUCUUUGCCUACCGCCUCCAACCUGGCGCUCGGCAAAGCUGGGUAGGUUGCUGUUUUCCCGCGCCAAAUAUUUCAGCUUUGCCGAGCGCGGCGCUCGGCAAAGACUCUUUGCCUAGCGCUGCGCUAGGCAAAGCUGGAAUCCAGUUUUUUUUGCUUUCUUUCACUGCAAACACAACAAAUCAUAUGUAUAUAUAUCACAUUGAUAUCGCCAUGAACACAAGUAGCACCAUUUAUAUUACAAUUCCAUCAAUUUUAUCACCACCGGCAAAGGAUAUAUCACAAUAGCACAUAUAUCUCAUAAUAGCAUCACUUAUUCGGCGAUAAAGUCCAUACAACAACUUCAUUCUAAUAAAGUUCAACACAACAAGUCCAAGUCCAUGACAUGAAGUUCAACACAACAAGUCCAAGUCCAUGACAUGAAGUUCCACACAACAAGUCCAAGUCCAUGACACAAAGAGAAGGAAUACAUGACAACUUCUUCGACGUUACUCACUGAGGCGGCGGUGGAGGUGCGUACUCGGGCCACCCAUUUGAUGGCGGCGACGGUCUCCCAUGCUCGUUCGCCACUUGGUUCGAACCCGCCGACUGAGGCUACACACAAGAGCAACGAUUGCAUGAGACAAAAGUUAAAUAGCUAAAUAACAUGCAUGUGUGAUAUAUAUUACUCACCGGAGUAGUGUGGAGAGCAACGAAGGGAGGAACGAUGGGAGGAGGCUGAGGUGGACCCAUCAAGUUGGGUGGUAAAGUAACACCCAAAGAACUCUGCAGAAACGCCAGCACAUCUGACAUCCUCUGGUCACUUGCCAGCCGCGUCGCCCGCUCUGAAGCCACAACCGCCUCCAGCUCGUCAGCCCUCUUGUUUGAAGUUUCCACCUGGGCCUAUACAUUGUUGCAAAGGUAAUGUUAGUGAAGCGAGAAGAAAAUCCUUAAUGCAUGAUGAGUAAACAAAAACUAACCUGUAGUGCCUCGACCCGGGCUUGUGCAUAGGCCGGCCGCUCGCGUAUCGGCGGGAGUCCGGAGCCGCUCGUGGUCUGUGCUCGGAUCUGGGAGAGACUGGGAGUAGUGGUGCUGUCGAUCACGCUGUUCGCCAUCCAGUAGCGCCCAUGUUGCUUUCCCUUUCCAAGACACAUGACGAGGCGUGCAUCGAUGUUGUCAGUCGUUGGAUCAUAAUCCAACCCAUGCAUCGCCCUCGCCGCCUCAUGGUACUCGGUGACUUUCUUGUAGGCGCUCUCACUUGUGUGCGCCUCGGGCGGGUCCUCCGGGUUGAAGGAGACGUCGGACGUCGCCUUGCCCUUGUGUGACAUGGUAUAUGCCGCGAAGUAGGAGCAUUGUUGGCCACCGUGCGCCGCCGACUGCGAGAACGAAAAGAAGUUUGUUAGUAGUCUUUGCCUAGUUAAAUUAAAGCAUGGAAACAGUUACAAACAUGAUGACGUACCCAAGCUCGGGUGAAGCCGCCGACGUUGUGGUUGCCUUGAUGGUGAGGCACACCUGGCAUGGCCAAACGGUGAGCCCGGAAAGUCGUGUGCUGCUGCCGCCACUCCUCGCUCAACCAACGGUCCACGAUUUGCCCCCACGCCUCAGGGGACUUUUCGCACCAACAAGGAAUGACCUACAUGUCAUGAAGUAAUCGACAUGUUAGGCAGUCAAGUUCAUAGCACUUAAUGUUGAAAGGAACUUAAUUUAAAGUUGCUCUGUUACCUGCAUGAACUGCUCUUUGGUCAGAGUGAGCCUCCGCUCUCGAAUUUGUUUCUUGUUGACGCUCUCGCCAAACUGCUUCCCAUAGUAGUCUCUGAUGGCCUGGAUUCUCGCCUCGUGGUACAUGUCCGUCACGCGCUUCCUGCAAGCUUUCCUAGCCACGGCGUCUGCAUUGCCCUCGUAGCUCUCGUCAAGCUUGAAGUAUGUCUGCAUAUGAAGACACAAUGUAUGCAUUAGUUAUUUCAAGUAGGAUCCAAUGAAUGCGUUGCAUUAAGGCAUGUAGUGCGAGGAAAGCUUACCCAGAACUCCUGAAGGAUGAGCGCUGCCACGUUGCCUGCGGUGGCAUGGUGGGCGGACUCAUAGCAGGCCCACGUGUAGACAGGCUCGUCCUUCCCGGCAUCCGUUACAAUGCCAGGGAAGUAGUGCCUGACCAGGGCACCUAGGACUCCAUUCACAUGGCGUGAAUCCCCUUCCGACACAACUCUCUAGGUCCUGCACAAGUGAUAAAGUAGACAUAUUAGUAUAUAUUUAGAUUUUGAACAAAGGAUACAAAGUAAUAGUGAUAACAUGUAGAGGUGUCUUACGCUUGCCCCUCUGGGACAAUCGAAACGCAUCGCCUCGGUUUGUCAGGGAGAGACGUGGGACCUCGGAAGUAGACACUGCCCGUAGUAGUGGAAGAUGACGUCCUAGCAGAGCCCUCAUCCCCGCCACCGCCGAGGUCCCCGUCGUCAUCCCCCUCGUCCUCCUCGUCCUGCUGCACCUGCUGCUCCUCGUCCUCAUCCUCCACCACCUGCUGCUCCUCAUCCUCCUCCUGCUGUGGCUGCUCCUCGUCCUCCUCCUCCUGAGGCUCAGGCUGGACCACAUGAGUCAUCCUCCUCGUCGGCCUCCUCGCCGUCCUCCUCGCCAUCUUGCGGCGUCUCGUCCCCACUGGAGUGGGCUCUGGCACGUCGUCUGCACCCCCUCUACUACCAGAGCCCUGGUAGAAGUGGCUCAGGCUCCUCUGACGGCCUCCUGGCAUUGUUGCUCAAUCACCUACAAUUAAGAUGGAAUAAACGUAAUUAUAAAUAGAUAUAAAAUAAAUAAAACUAAAUUACAAAAUCUGAAAGUAUUACAUGUAUGUUACAAAUAUUCUUCAUGAUCGGGAUUAGCUAGACCGUAAGUCUCAUCAUUACUAUCAACCAGGUCAAAAUAAUCAACAACAUCUGGCGGAGGAAUGUUGUCUUCAUCAUUAUUGCCUAGACGCAACCGCUCAAGCAUUUGUAAGUCAUUUGGAUCUCGCACCUCAUCUUCGUCAUCAUCAUCAAUGACCAUUACAUUGUGUACAUCCAUUCCUAUCUCACAGGUUAAGUCUAUCUCGAACCUCCCUUGUAGCCCAUCUUCUUGGUAAAACUCUCCAUUUUACGUGGUUGGGUUGAAGUGGUAGUCUUCAUCAUUUGGGAGAGGUGCUCCGCCGUGUGGUGACACCUUGUGCACAACACACCAACCAUUGUGAUCCAGUCUAGCCUUGCAAGCAUACGGCGUAUAAUAAACUUGUGUGGCCUGUUGUGCCACAAUAUACACAUCGUCUCUUGGAUAGACAGAAUCAUGUCGAAUUUCAACAAGACCAAGAUUCGGGGUCUUCCUUGUUACUUCCGGAUCAAACCAAUGGCAUUUGAAUAUGACAGGACGAGCUUUGGUGCUACCAGGGAAUGUGAUUUCGUAUAUUUCUUCAACUCUUCCAUAGUAGUGCUUGCCAUCAGUGCCAGGCGUAAAAACCCCGCUAUUUGUGGUCUUUCGAUUUGGCCGCACACGCUCGUAGCUUGUUGUGUGAAACCGAAAUCCAUUCACAUCGUAAGCGGACAAUGACUUGACUCGGCGGUCACACCCAUUGGCAACACAUCUCAGGUCAGCACCGAUAGAAGGAUCGGUUCGGGCCUUGGUUGAGAACCAACAAAUGAAAUCAGGCCUCCCUUGUCCCGCACCAUUGGCGAGGAGGGUGUCUUGUUCUGACGGGGUAGGCUCCCUUGGGCGAAGCCAGUAUUGACGAAUGAAUUCCCUAUGAUGAGUAACAAGGGGGUUAGAUGUAGAAAAGGUGCGGGAUUAUUGAAACUAGUCUGUUGAGAACUUACACAAUGUAUGGGUCCACCUCUUCUAGGUUGGUCAACACAUACAACAUGAUUUUACGCCACUCCACAUUUGACAAGGGCUUAGUGGUCGACCCACCGGCUCUUCCAAGUUGCCCUCAGAAAAGGCUGAGGGUCCACUCAUUUUCAUCAGCAUUAUAGCGUGGAUGUGGAUUAUGAACACUUCGAAGGGUGUCGUCGUAAUAUGAUGUUGUGAAGUUUGACGUCUCCUCCAAAGUGAAUGCACUUGCAAUUGAAGCCUCGAUUUUACCCUUGUUUUUGCACUUUUUUCGAAGAGUCUUUAGGCACCUCUCGAUCGGAUAGCACCAACGGGCCUGCACGGGCCCCCCCUCAUUCGUGCCUCAUACGGGAGGUGUAAUAUCAGAUGUUGCAUGGGAUUGAAGAAGCCUGGUGGAAAGAUUUUCUCCAACUUGCAAAGUAGGACAGGUGCCACUUUUUCCAAGUCUGCAAUCAUGGAUCGAGAUAACUCCUUGGCACAGAGUUAGCGGAAGAAGUAGCUCAACUCUGCCAGCACUGUCCAUAUGGGCUCAGGGACGAAGCCUCGAACCAUCGUCGGGAGAAGACGCUCAAUCCAAAUGUGGUAGUCAUGACUCUUCAUCCCGUUCACUCGGAGAGUACUUAAGUUCACUACCCUCCUCAGAUUUGCUGCAUACCCAUCGGGGAACAUCAACGUCUUCAUCCAUUCGAGUACUUCCCUCCUUUGUCUAGGGGCGAGGACAAAAUCUGCCUUAGGCCUUUUCCAUGUCCUACCACCACUAGGAGCUUGUAUCUCUUGAUGUGGUCUAUGGCACAACUCUGCAAGGUCCAAUCGAGCCUUAGGGUUGUCCUUUGACUUUUCAGUGUUCAUGAGCGUUGCCCAGAGUGCCUCCGCGACAUUCUUUUCGGUGUGCAUGACAUCAAUGUAAUGUGGCAUGAGGAGGUCAUCAAAAUAAGGGAGUCUUGUCAAGCCAGACUUAUGAGUGCCAUGUCAUUUGCUUAGCAGGCUCCUCGCUCAUGUAUACCCGUUGGAUCCUCGGCAAGAAAGGGAGGUACCGUAGGAUUUUCAUCGGGACGGUAAGCUGCUCCUUCUGGCCGCCACCAGAGUCUACCUCUAGGUACCGAGAGGCUUUACACUUCAGACAGUACUUCUCCUGCUUAAGAUCUUUCCUGAACAAGACACACCCGUUCGGACAACAAUGUAUCUGCUCGUACGACAUCUUGAGUCCAUCAAGGAGUUUCUAGCACUCGUACAGGCUCUUUGGCAGCACGUAGCCCUUCGGAAGCAUGCUAGCAAUCAAGGCCAGCAUGCCAUUGAAGUGUUGCCGACUCAUGUUGAUCUCGGCCUUAAACGCCAUCACGCGUCCAACGGCAUCGAGCUGACAAACCAUCGUGCGAUCAUGAAGGGGUUUCUGUGCUGAAGCCAUCAUGUCAUAGAAUGCCUUUGCGGAUGUCUUUGCCUCCUCCACACGCCCAUCGGGGAUUUGUGCUUGUGCGAAGUCAUCUAACAUGUCUACAACCCUACCACCAUCAUCGACAUGCUCGAGGCGAGGCCGCACAACCUCCUCUCUCAACCGAUGCGCUUCACCAUGGUGUACCCACCGGGUAUAGCCCGACACAAAGCCAUUCAACUGAAGAUGUUUAGCCAUGGUCUCCUGGUUCUGCCAUUUCCUAUUUGCACACUUGCUACAGGGACACUUCGCCAAUCGUGCUCUGUCCACACCACUACCAAAUGCACAGUCCAAGAAAGCCUCUGUCUUCUGCCCCCAUUCAAUGCUGAAAUCAUGCUUACUUGUGUAUCCUGCAUACAUCCACUCACGGUCAUCCAUCGUCUAACAUGCAUAUCAAAGAUGAACAUAAACAUCAAGUGCAUCUACUUCGUGUUCCUACAGUCUAAUAGGUAAGGAUAGGUCCUAAUCCCACCUGUGGAUGCGUAGACGAGGUUAGUUUCCAUGGGCUACUCCGAGCUGAGACAGAAUUUCGGCAGCACCUCCCCGCUGUUCUCCAGAUACACGUCCCGUCGCACAGAAUGUGGAUCCACAGAACAAGAUCUUGGUAACGCUGAAACCUUAUUUCGGCUGAACCGAUUCAUGGGUUGUAAGGCCGUCAAGCCAAAAAGACAUCUCUUCCCUAGGCGCCCGACGGCGUCUCCAGACUUCCUAACGUCGGCGUCGACCGCCACGUGCCGGCUCGGGAAAUCUUAACCGGUUUUUUUUUCGGGCUACCCGCGAGAUCGGGGUGGGUGGGGGGGUUACACCGACCCUUAGGAUCGGUUUACCCUUGNNNNNNNNNNNNNNNNNNNNNNNNNNNNNNNNNNNNNNNNNNNNNNNNNNNNNNNNNNNNNNNNNNNNNNNNNNNNNNNNNNNNNNNNNNNNNNNNNNNNNNNNNNNNNNNNNNNNNNNNNNNNNNNNNNNNNNNNNNNNNNNNNNNNNNNNNNNNNNNNNNNNNNNNNNNNNNNNNNNNNNNNNNNNNNNNNNNNNNNNNNNNNNNNNNNNNNNNNNNNNNNNNNNNNNNNNNNNNNNNNNNNNNNNNNNNNNNNNNNNNNNNNNNNNNNNNNNNNNNNNNNNNNNNNNNNNNNNNNNNNNNNNNNNNNNNNNNNNNNNNNNNNNNNNNNNNNNNNNNNNNNNNNNNNNNNNNNNNNNNNNNNNNNNNNNNNNNNNNNNNNNNNNNNNNNNNNNNNNNNNNNNNNNNNNNNNNNNNNNNNNNNNNNNNNNNNNNNNNNNNNNNNNNNNNNNNNNNNNNNNNNNNNNNNNNNNNNNNNNNNNNNNNNNNNNNNNNNNNNNNNNNNNNNNNNNNNNNNNNNNNNNNNNNNNNNNNNNNNNNNNNNNNNNNNNNNNNNNNNNNNNNNNNNNNNNNNNNNNNNNNNNNNNNNNNNNNNNNNNNNNNNNNNNNNNNNNNNNNNNNNNNNNNNNNNNNNNNNNNNNNNNNNNNNNNNNNNNNNNNNNNNNNNNNNNNNNNNNNNNNNNNNNNNNNNNNNNNNNNNNNNNNNNNNNNNNNNNNNNNNNNNNNNNNNNNNNNNNNNNNNNNNNNNNNNNNNNNNNNNNNNNNNNNNNNNNNNNNNNNNNNNNNNNNNNNNNNNNNNNNNNNNNNNNNNNNNNNNNNNNNNNNNNNNNNNNNNNNNNNNNNNNNNNNNNNNNNNNNNNNNNNNNNNNNNNNNNNNNNNNNNNNNNNNNNNNNNNNNNNNNNNNNNNNNNNNNNNNNNNNNNNNNNNNNNNNNNNNNNNNNNNNNNNNNNNNNNNNNNNNNNNNNNNNNNNNNNNNNNNNNNNNNNNNNNNNNNNNNNNNNNNNNNNNNNNNNNNNNNNNNNNNNNNNNNNNNNNNNNNNNNNNNNNNNNNNNNNNNNNNNNNNNNNNNNNNNNNNNNNNNNNNNNNNNNNNNNNNNNNNNNNNNNNNNNNNNNNNNNNNNNNNNNNNNNNNNNNNNNNNNNNNNNNNNNNNNNNNNNNNNNNNNNNNNNNNNNNNNNNNNNNNNNNNNNNNNNNNNNNNNNNNNNNNNNNNNNNNNNUGAUCCGACGGCCCAGAUUCACUUGAAGGGACUAUAAAACCAGACCCCCCUGGCCCCUGGAGAUCAUACCUCUUCUACAGAAUCAAAGUUAGGGUUUCAAGUCUUCAUCCAAGUAGAGAGGAUCACUCUAGUUCUUCUAGUUCUACCUCUAGUUCAUCUAGAUCUAGUUCUAGUUCAUCUAGUUCUAGUUCUAGUUCCUCUAGUUCUAGUUCUAGUUAGUUCUAGUUGUAAUCUAGAAAAUAGGGACGUUAUGUAAAGCGAAUAUCAAUUUUUGAACCGUCGAAUUCGGAGAUUCGAUACACCUGCAGUUCAAAUCCGCGUUUAUCGUAGAAAUUCAAUUAAACCAAAUUAACUAAUGAUAUAUAAUAAACAAAUUUUAAAAACUACCAAAACCUUAACAUAUACUAUUAAAUAAUGUGUAAUGCAAAACAAAAAAGUUUGAAAGCAAAUAUCAAAAAAAAAUCUUUGCCGAGCGCCAAAAGUCAGCGCUAGGCAAAGAGAUGCCUUUGCCGAGCGCCUAACGGAGGGCGCUCGGCGCUCGGCAAAGGGUGACGGCAGGUACCCCAUGUUACAUCUGCUAUCUCUUUGCCAAGUGCAAGCCUUUGCUGAGCGCUUGGCGCUUGGGAAAGAUGUUCUUUGCCUAGAGCGGGCCUUUGCCGAGCGCCUGGCGCUUGGCAAAGAUGUUCUUUGCCGAGCGUCUCCGUUUGCUGAGGGCACUACCCUCGGUAAAGAAAUCUUUGCCGAGCGCUGUCGUUGCCGAGGGCCCUGCGCUAGGCAAAGGUGGCCUUUACCGAACGCCCGAUGAAUAGCGCUCGGCAAAUAACCAGGCGCUAUGCAAAGGCGAUGUCUGCCGUAGUGAUGCAUAUACUACUCGACUAUUUAUCCGACCAGUUCUAACUUUUGAAAAAUCCGCAUCCACAUUUACAUCCAUUUAUUAUCCGCUCCGCACCAAUUCCGAUAAAGAAAAGUGGAUUAGAUAUGGGGAAGACAUUAUCCGUACUGAUUCGAUCUGUUUUCAUUCCUACUUGCAGAGGCGGCUGUUGUUUCCAGCCACCUUUGGAACUUCUCCAACCAAUUUUUUGAAAAUUUUCCGCGCGCAGACUAAGUAAAUUUAUGUAAAUAGAAAAACCAAAAUAUCUUAUAAUUUAGAAAAAAAAUAGAGUAAAUUACAAUGCAACUUUGCUGAUCAAUCAUGCAAAUCCAUAAAUCCCUAAACGGCUAAACUGAUGUUCACAAUCGAAAGCAAAAGAAACUCAAGCCUAUUAAACGAGCUCAACACUCACGAAUAAUUAGCACGAGGAUGCCCACCCAGACACCGGCACUCCGUUUCUGUCGACCUCCAUGUUGUGUCCAGCUGUCUAGAGCACGCUAAGUACAUUAUCAAUGCAAGUCUACAUCAGUAAUGGAGGAUCCCAGAUCAGCCUCCGAUCUCGACGAUGAUCUUUCCGGUGGCAUGGCCGUCGACGCUCUUCUGCCAGGCCUUGCUCACCUCGCUCAGUGGGAACCUCGAGUCAAUCAGUGUCUUGAGCUUGCCGUCCUUCAGCAGCCCGACCAGGAACUCUAGGUCCGCCUUGUUGGGCGACAGGUGCAGUGGCACCAGCCUCUUCCUGGCGAAGGUCACCAUGUGCAGCGCCCAUUUGAGGAUGGAGCUGAAGUUUGGGGUGAUGUCGAUCACCCUCCCGGUGGUGGCCAGCACAGGCUCGAACGUCGACCAGCUGAUCCGGGCAGCGCAAUGGAUGACAACAUCGUACUUCUUACCCGAGGGGCUCUGCAGGCUGGCACCCUCUGGCGUCUUGUAGUCAAGCACCUCAUCCGCGCCCAGGCUCUUCAGC